rnacentral:tRNA from 1 species
AGCCCGGUCGUCUAGCGGUCAAGGAUCGGGGCCUCUGGAGCCUCUGACAAGAGUUCGAAUCUCUUCCGGGCUACCA